UACGUAGGGUCCGAGCGUUGUCCGGAAUUAUUGGGCGUAAAGGGCUCGUAGGUGGCCAACUAAGUCAGACGUGAAAUCCCUCAGCUUAACUGGGGAACUGCGUCUGAUACUGGAUGGCUUGAGUUUGGGAGAGGGAUGCGGAAUUCCAGGUGUAGCGGUGAAAUGCGUAGAUAUCUGGAGGAACACCUGCGGCGAAGGCGGCCUUCUGGACGAUGACUGACGCUGAGACGCGAAAGCGUGGGGAGCAAACAGG
rnacentral:rRNA from 1 species